rnacentral:rRNA from 1 species
UGUGAAACUGCGAAUGGCUCAUUAUAUCAGUCAUAGUUUAUUUGAAAGUCCCUUACUACAUGGAUAACCGUAGUAAUUCUAGAGCUAAUACAUGCAUAAAAGCUCAACUGCCUCGGCGGACGGGUUGCAUUGAUUAGACCGAAACCAAUGCGUCUUC